rnacentral:lncRNA from 1 species
CCAUAUUUGGCCAAUUUCCAUUAAAAAAAUUACAUCAUCAGAUAAAAUUAGUUUUAUUUACGUCAAAUUAAUAUUUGAUUGAAAUAAUUUUUGCUCUGCAUCCUUGGAAGUGUGUUUGGUACAAACUGAGCUAUAUUUCUUAAUAUAAAAUCUUUCCUUUAUUCCAAAUAAGCUAUUUUUGGAAGGCAUGCGCGAAAUUACCGGACAUUGGAGGAACUCUCAGAACAGGGGCUUCCCUAAUUUUAGACACACAUUACACAAAAUCCAGAGGAUGAAACCAUACAAACAGAAGAUUUUAUGAAAUAAAAGUAUAUAUAUGAAUGUGUUCACACAAAAUUAUCCAAUUAUUGGUUUUAUCAGUUGAAUGAAGUGAAGUCAUAAGUCUUAGGUGCGCG